AGUGAACGCUGGCGGCAGGCUUUACACAUGCAAGUCGAACGGCAGCGCAGUGAGACUUUCUUCUCUGCGGUCGCGUGUCGAGCGUGGGAGUGAUACACCUCGGCAUCUCCAUAUUCGGGGGAUAACACCCCGAGAAAGUUACUAUUACCGCGUAUAUGCUCAACAGGUGAGCGCAGGACCUCUUCAUACCCUUCGCGCUUGUAUGACCGGAUGUCGGAUUUGCUAGUUGGGGGGGUAAAGGCCCACCAAGGCGCGGAUAUGUAGCUGGUCUGAGAGGAUGAUCAGCCACACUGGAACUGAGACACGGACCAGACUCCUACGGGAGGCAGCAGUGGGGAAUAUUGGACAAUGGGGGCAAGCCUGAUCCAGCCAUGCCGCGUGGAUGAAGAAGGCCUUCGGGUUGUAAAGCACUUUUGUUAGGGAAGAAAAGCAACAGGUGAAUACUGGCCGAUACUGACGGUACCUAAAGAAUAAGCACCGGCUAACUACGUG
rnacentral:rRNA from 1 species